rnacentral:rRNA from 1 species
AACGAACGCUGGCGGCAUGCCUAACACAUGCCAGUCGAACGAGACCUUCGGGUCUAGUGGCGCACGGGUGCGUAACGCGUGGGAACCUGCCCUUAGGUUCGGAAUAACUCCCCGAAAGGGGUGCUAAUACCGGAUAAUGUCUUCGGACCAAAGAUUUAUCGCCUUUGGAUGGGCCCGCGUUGGAUUAGCUAGUUGGUAGGGUAAAAGCCUACCAAGGCGACGAUCCAUAGCUGGUCUGAGAGGAUGAUCAGCCACACUGGGACUGAGACACGGCCCAGACUCCUACGGGAGGCAGCAGUGGGGAAUAUUGGACAAUGGGCGAAAGCCUGAUCCAGCAAUGCCGCGUGAGUGAUGAGGGCCUUAGGGUUGUAAAGCUCUUUUACCCGGGAUGAUAAUGACAGUACCGGGAGAAUAAGCUCCGGCUAACUCCGUG